CAACACGGAGAGAAAUCAAACUAGUUUGAAGCAACCAAAAUUUUGGUUGACGUUCAAAGUCUGAAUUUGGUUGUUCAGAGCUGCGUCGCCUCAGCCGCACUCUUUGUCAUUCCAUUGUUGUCAUAUCGUGUCUACGGAAUUUCGAUUAACGAGCUGGUCGAGUGUGUGCGGCCAUUUCAGGAUUGCUGUAUCUCCGGAAAACGGCCUCAAAAUCAUCAUCAGCGUACGGAUUGGUGCGCGUUGCGGCAAGAAAGAUGCAUGCAACGCAUGAUGACCGAAUAAUCACGGUUCCGGCCGGCUUUUCGUACGCCGGCACAAUUUGGGAAAUCCGACGGAUUUCAUCGGCUGAAAACUAUGAUCCUCCCUGACGGAAAUUUCAAAAAUAAAAAUGUAUUAAAUGCGAGGUGAAAUGUGAACCAAAUAGGUUAAAUGGUUGAAUAAUACGUAAUGUUUUCCUGAAAAUAAAAGAAAUGUUGACCCAAAUUCAUUGAUUAAUAUUUACAUUAUUUUCAAUAAAAGAACGGAUUAGAUGGAAAGAAGGGGGAGGGGGAGGAAGUGUAAACAAACAAAGUAAUAUCAACAAUCUUUUUGUUCAAUUUGAGGUGCAGUAUUUGCUUGUUUCAAAUUGAUUCUUGUUAGGUCGAAACUAAAUAACUUGGCUGAAAUAACAAAUGUUUUAGUUUGUUUCGGGAGCUGUCAAAAUGUAACUACCAAUAUAAUGGUAAACUUUAACCAAAUUUAGUUGAAUUAAGAUAUUGAACCCUUAAACAGUUACAUAAAAAUAUAGUUUGUUUUUACCAACGCUGCCCGUUGAAGGAAGCAAAAUUUUGUUUGUGCAAAUAUCAACCUGAAAAUUUGGUUGAAUC